rnacentral:rRNA from 1 species
GACGUAGGUGGCGAACGUUAUCCGGAAUUACUGGGCGUAAAGGGCGCGUAGGCGGUCCUUCAAGUCAGGCGUGAAAGCCCCGGGCUCAACCUGGGAACCGCGCUUGAGACUGGCGGGCUAGAGUUCGGGAGAGGAUGGUGGAAUUCCCAGUGUAGAGGUGAAAUUCGUAGAUAUUGGGAAGAACACCGAUGGCGAAGGCAGCCAUCUGGACCGACACUGACGCUGAGGCGCGAAAGCGUGGGGAGCAAACAGG